CCUAGGGGGCUGCAGUGGGGAAUAUUGGGCAAUGGGCGAAAGCCUGACCCAGCGACGCCGCGUGGGCGAUGAAGGCCUUCGGGUUGUAAAGCCCUGUCAUGCGGAAAGAACGACCCUGUGACGCAUACUCACAGGGAGUGACGGUACCGCAGGAGGAAGCACCGGCUAACUCCGUGCCAGCAGCCGCGGUAAUACGGAGUGUGCAAGCGUUGUUCGGAAUGAUGGGGCGUAAGGGGCGCAUAGGCGGUAAGAAAUACUCCGGCUCAACCAGAGAAUUGCAUCAGAAACUGCAUAACUAGAGUACAGAAGAGGGAAACGGAAUUCCCGGUGUAGAGGUGAAAUUCGUAGAUAUCGGGAGGAACACCAGUGGCGAAGGCGGUUUCCUGGUCUGAUACUGACGCUGAGGCGCGAAAGUGUGGGGAGCAAACAGGAUUAGAUACCCGUGUAGUC
rnacentral:rRNA from 1 species